rnacentral:rRNA from 1 species
CCUACGGGGGGCUGCAGUGGGGAAUAUUGGACAAUGGGGGCAACCCUGAUCCAGCCAUGCCGCGUGUGUGAAGAAGGCCCUCGGGUUGUAAAGCACUUUCAGUGAGGAAGAACGCCUGGUGGUUAAUACCCAUCAGGAAAGACAUCACUCACAGAAGAAGCACCGGCUAACUCCGUGCCAGCAGCCGCGGUAAUACGGAGGGUGCGAGCGUUAAUCGGAAUUACUGGGCGUAAAGCGCGCGUAGGUGGCUUGAUAAGCCGGUUGUGAAAGCCCCGGGCUCAACCUGGGAACGGCAUCCGGAACUGUCGAGCUAGAGUGCAGGAGAGGAAGGUAGAAUUCCCGGUGUAGCGGUGAAAUGCGUAGAGAUCGGGAGGAAUACCAGUGGCGAAGGCGACCUUCUGGACUGACACUGACGCUGAGGUGCGAAAGCGUGGGUAGCGAACAGGAUUAGAUACCCGGGUAGUC